GGGGUGACUAGUGACAGAGAGAGGGAGGGGGUGACUAGUGACAGAGAGAGAGGGGGGGGUGACUAGUGACAGAGUGAGGGAUGAGGUGACUAGUGACAGUGACCACUUCCUUCACUCUGUCACUAGUCACCCCCUCCCUCACUCUGUCAUUGUGUCACCCCCUUCCUCACUCUGUCACUAGUCACCCACUCCCUCCCUCACUCUGUCACUAGUCACCCCCUCUCUCACUCUGUCACUAGUCAUCCCC